UCCCCGGUAGCUCAGUGGUAGAGCGAGUGACUGUUAAUCACUUGGUCGCUGGUUCGAGUCCGGCCCGGGGAGCCA
rnacentral:tRNA from 1 species